UCGAGAAUCUUCCGCAAUGCGCGAAAGCGUGACGGAGCAAUGCCGCGUGGGUGAUGAAGGUCUUCGGAUUGUAAAGCCCUGUCGUCAGGGAAGAAGGUGCAGGACAGGAAAUGGUUUUGCGCUUGACGGUACCUGGAGAGGAAGCCCCGGCUAACUCCGUGCCAGCAGCCGCGGUAAUACGGAGGGUGCAAGCGUUAUUCGGAAUUACUGGGCGUAAAGGGCGUGCAGGCGGGAGAGCAAGUCUGAUGUGAAAGCCCGGGGCUUAACCCCGGAAGGGCAUUGGAAACUGCUUUUCUUGAGUUCUGGAGAGGAAGGGAGAAUUCCCGGUGUAGAGGUGAAAUUCGUAGAGAUCGGGAGGAACAUCAGUGGCGAAGGCGCCCUUCUGGACAGCAACUGACGCUGAGACGCGAAAGCGUGGGGAGCAAACA
rnacentral:rRNA from 1 species